rnacentral:lncRNA from 1 species
AUAUAAUGCAAACAUUAAAGAACAAAGUUGGUUAAACUUGGGAGCUUCCUUUUUGACCUCCAUUUUUUCCAGAAUUUACCUUAAAUGCAUCUGCAUUUUGUCUUCCUAUUCAGGAAGAGAAAUGGAUUCCACUAUAAGAUGUGCAGGGUGUGGCCAUGAUGUUCUCAGGUCUGCAGCAUUUGAAUGUCAAUUCAAGGAAGGUGAUAAGCCAUCCCAGAGCAAUAAAGCAUUAUUAUUUGAAGGAUCACAAGAAACGCACCGACUUUGUAUGGAAUGUAAAUAUAUUGUUGAAACUCAUUAUGGUGACCUAAGUAACGUAACACCAGAAGAUGCCUAUACUUUACUGUAUAGCGUCAGGGUCAAAGGAGGCGAACAAUGCUGCGCAUGCUGUUGCAACAGCUGCACAGUCAUGUGAAUAACAGAACUGACUGCCGAAAUAUGAUGAAUAGCAUAUAAUAGCCUACGAUUAGAAUAUAUAUCAAGAAAUCAUGGAAUGAGUGAAUAGAUUUUUAGUUGGAUUCUCAAUGCCUCCAAAAUAUUUUUUCCAAAAAUCUUAGACGGUAGAGGUAGCAUGAAUUAAAGAUUUAUUUUAUUUUCAUGGUAACACAUGCAUGCACAUCACAACAAAGUAAUAAUACUUUCUGAACAAAGUUAAUUUUGAUUCAGAGCAUAGAUAUGCAGUAACUACCCAGAAAAGUUUUUACCAUGAAUUAAGAAAUUUUGCUCAAUGAAUAUUUGCAUGCAGAUGUACAUGAAUAUUAUUCUUUUCAUUUUAUAGAGAAAUAUAUAUAAUUGAUAGUAACUUUUUAAAUUUAUUUACAAAAAUUCCCAUGUACAAAAAAUAGCUGAGCUGUUCUGCUUUUUUUAUCUGGGAGGGGUUGAUACAAUUUGCUUGAUAACCCAUAUAAGAAAUUGGACCCCCCUUCUCUGUUGAUGCAUGAAAAAAUGGCCCUUAUCUGGCUUUUUUUCCUGUUUAUCAUAAAAGUGCCAUACCAGUCAAGUUUAUCUGUGUCCCUCCUGUAAAGCCUGAUUUUUUUAAUGACCAUCUCCCAAAUCCCACUCACCCCCUCCCCAGUAAAAAGUAAAUGGUUCCUAAUAAAAUUAAAACCAUAAAAAAAAUGUUAGAGUGAAGUCACUAAACCUGUGAAAUAGAUAUUAGACUAACACACUUUAGUACACCUUAAUUCCAUUGUUUUCUUUUGUGUCUAUUUGACUAUUACACGUUGGCUAAUAAUUUUUAUUUUCCUCUAUGUCAGUGCAGUGUUAUUAAAAAAAGGUAAUUUUAACAAAAAACAGCAUUACCUAAGAAACAGGUGUUUUGAAGUCCCAUUUCAUUUGCACAAAAACACACACAACACAAGAUAGGAUAAUUAUUUUAUUAAAAAAUUAUACCAGAAAAAAGCCUAAUAAUAAUAACUCUUAUGUACAUGAACGUCAGAUUUUAGUUUAGUUAUAAAUAGUUUGUAUUGUAAAUAAUAAUAAGCAAGAAUAAAUUGUUUCCCUUAUAUAGGUUUUUUAAUCACUAAUAUGAGUUCUCUUUUAAGUCUAAUUAAAUAAUUUGAUCUACA